AAGAAAGACAAAACAAAAAACCAGAGUUGCCAUGGUCGUGGGGUCUCUUCACAGCAAUAGAAGCCCUAGCUAAGACGCACCAUUCCCUGAGUUUGAGUCCUGGGCUGUGUGAGAGCAGAGGAAGUGAGUGAGCAUGCUCUUCAGUCUGCUCUGAAGAGUGGACGUCACAUGACCAGCUGCUUCGAGUUCCUGCCUCCUUCACUUCUCCACAAGAAGGAACUGAGCCGGUACCCGAACUGUGAGCUGAAACAACUCCUUUCUCUUCUAAGAGGCGCUUUGUCCGGUUGUUGUUUUUUUCUCAGCAACAGAAAUGAAGCUAAGACACUAGUUUGCCCACAGGAGGCUGCACUUCACCUUACUGCACAUCGGCACAUGGUCCUUGACUCCGGCUGUUCUCUUCUGGCAUCGUGGCCGUGGCCCCUGGGAUAGCUGAGUACACAUGGGAGUUGAACUUUCCCUAUGGUCAGGGGGCUUCCACAGACUCCCAGAGGCGGGACCUACCUCAACUACAAAAUGUCACUGCCCACGGCCUUUUCAUCCUGCCACCUGGAACCAAUUCAUAAAAUCAGAAAGGAGACGUUCAUACCACCUUUAGGAACUUAGCAGAGAAUCAGCUUAAAGGUGAAAGCUAUUCAGGUUACAGCACUGCCCACACUCUUAUUUAAAGACUUCUGUCUCCCUGCCUCCCUCCCUCACGGCCCCAGCUUUCCUGGCUUGCUGUGGGCCCCACCAAGCCCCAUAUGGAAUCCGAUGGGCAGCUGGAAUCUGAUGGGCAGCUGUACCUGUCUUCACAGCCCCCAAAGUUUUGGGCCACAGAGACAUUCUAACAUUGUUCUAAGAUGCCAAGGUGGGAAGUCUUUCCCAGAAGUCCCUGUACCAAGGGGCAUGGGAGAGAGGCUGCCAGCGCCCCAGGACUUGCAAAAACUGAAUUCAUCUCCAACCCAAACUCCAAUUGUGUGUGACCACCAUGGCAGAGGUUCUUAAGAAGCCCUUUCCAGCGUCCCUAAGGCCCCCUAACCGGGUGUCCCAUGGCCCGCACCUACAAACCUACAUGUUGACACCUGGACGUAGCUGUGCUGACCCAAUGGGACAGGAGAAAAAGGAGGCAGGUCCUGAUGGAGCUCUCCCAGAUUCGGCGAAAUCGUGGUUUGGUAUGCCUGUGUGGGUCAGUCUUAGAGUACCUAGAGAAGACGGUGAUCUCGGAGGUAUCUGAGCAUGCACUGUGUUCCUGCAGCCCCGUUGUAGACCAUCACACUGUAGUUUCCACACAGUGGUAAUGUCCUGCCAUUGCCUCUCAGCGUUUCUCUCUGUAGUAAGUAACUCUCCACCUUUUGUGAAGCUGGCUUCUGGCUCUGGCUCAGGUCAGAUGUCGCCUCCUCAGAGGUAGUGGUCCUAACCCCUCAUCCGGGAAUCUUGGACCUCUAAAACCUGAAGCCUGCCCCAUAGUAAAAACUCAGUGCCUGCCUGCCUGCCUAUCACAUGUUUACCUGUCACAGACCAAACAUCUGUAUUUUCUCAGUCAUCCACACAUACAUGUAUGCAUCUAGGCAUCCACCCAAGAAUCCGUCCAUCCAUUCAUAAACACAUAGAUCUAAUCAUCCAUGCAUGCAUCCAUUCAGCAUCCACAAAUCACCCAUGCACUCAUAUAUUCAUGACUCUAUCUACCCAUCUGUCCAUCCACCCACCUACCUGUCCUCUAAAUGUAUCUCCCCGUUCCCUUCAGCACCAGCAUCAUUCCAAACAAGCCUAUGAUGUAAACGUCAGUCUUACCUUUAUUUCCUCCCCUAGCCUUGUUUCUCAUGUGCCCAUCAGUUAGGACAGAAUGCAGAGCACCCUGGUAUUAAGAAGCAAAAUGCCUCGGAGCAGGCACCCUGCACAGCUUUUGCUUCCUAAGUAGCUUUAACAACUAUGCGAUAAAACUGCAGAACCUCAAGUCAGUUGUGUAGACGUUUAAAUGCACUCAAAUUCCCAGUUUGGUACUCCAAGGUGACAGGUCCUCAAUCCGCCUGGAGCAAAGCUGUUUCCCUGCUCUGUGACACCAGCCGCUUUGCCAGGCACCGCUGUGUAACAUGUUAAUCACCCUGCUCGAACACCUCAGCUCUAAGGUUAAGGAGCUUCUCUAAACAGGCCUGGCCUGCUUCCCAAGGAGCUGCGUGCUUCCUUUCGGAUGCCAAGUCUUGUGUCAUUGUCUUUUCUCAUUAAAGCUGGGAAGCGAGCAUGAGGCCAGAGCUCCAGCCGGCCUGAAAAACAGAACGGGCCGCUGCAUUUGACGGGAGCGCAAUUUGUAUGAAGAUUUCCCAUGCACAUAACUGCACCAACUCAUGCCUCUGAAGAAAAGCACGAUCAAUGCACAGAGCUUCCCUAGACAGGUGUGAUGUUGGGGACACAAAGGUCCUUGCGCCCACAGAUCACUAGGGAAACCAGGAAUGUUAAACACACAGGACUUUCUUCUCAAUGAGGAGGUAAAAUACCUGUUUUCCCACCCAGAAAAUUGGAAGUGGAUUUUGUUAAUGUUAAUGACCUUUUUGCUGUCUGUAGAGGUAAACCUCACCCACCUUUUGCUAUAGAGGCAGACCUUACCCAAAUCACCAAGAAUAGUCAUCCCGGUCUCUUCCCUCCCUGGACAGUUACCCAUCCUUAGGGAGAUAUCACUGCUGACCUCUGUGCUGUCUCUGUCAGAGGCCACACUAGAUUCUAGGCCUUUUAGCUAUGGAACCCACCCUUAUGGUCAUGUGUACUUUGUAAAGGAGUUUCUAUGUAGUCACACCUUAAGCUUUUGCACACAUGGAAUUGUAAUGAUUGUCACUUGGAAACCUUUUCCCAAGUUGUACUUGUCUUGAAUAUGCUAACAGUGAACUAUCUGGCACUAGGUCCAGGUUGACGAA